UACAGAGGGGGCAAGCGUUGUUCGGAAUUACUGGGCGUAAAGGGCGCGUAGGCGGCCAACUAAGUCAGACGUGAAAUCCCUCAGCUUAACUGGGGAACUGCGUCUGAUACUGGAUGGCUUGGAUUCGGGAGAGGAAUGCGGAAUUCCAGGUGUAGCGGUGAAAUGCGUAGAUAUCUGGAGGAACACCGGUGGCGAAGGCGGCAUUCUGGACCGAUAUUGACGCUGAGGAGCGAAAGCCAGGGGAGCAAACGGG
rnacentral:rRNA from 1 species